GGGCCCGUAGUUUAAUGGAUAAAACAAAAGCCUUCUAAGCUUUGGACCAAGGUUCGAUUCCUUGCAGGCCCACAA
rnacentral:tRNA from 2 species